GACAUCCACUGUAAUGAUUUAUAAGCUAGAAAACUUCAAAAUCAAAUAGGUCAUAAAGGCUAGAUCAAUAUUGGAACAAAUCUUAAAAUUUGUAAAUUAAUCGACAAAACAACUAAUGAAGCCGUAAAUAAUUUUGUUAUUAAGGCCAUUCAGUUCAAUAUAAAUACUACCAAUACCUUUUCCAAUUGCCUUAGGGUUUGCAAUUUCAGACCAAUUUCAACUUUUAGCGAAUAGCUCACUGCUAGAAACACGAUCCUAGUCGGAGAAGAUAGACUACUUGAGUCUAAACGUGUUGUCUGAUGACUCACUCUUCUGGUACGUAUUUUUCCAUUCUUGUUAGAUACGAUAUCAAUUCUGGAUAUAUAUCUUUCUUAGGGUAAGUAUAUAUUGAGAAUUUUUUUUUGAAGUUUAAACAUCUCAUAAUACUUUGUACUGUCUUAUUCAUGAACAUAUCUAGGAAAAAUUUGAGACAAACACAGAGUGUGUGUGAUACACCAUAAUUUAAGACAAAUGUGACACUUGACACAUAAAUUAAAUUAGACGUCAUCACAAUUCAAUCCAGGUGAGAUGAACCUUCAAAUCACUUAUUCAUGAAACAAAUUUUAGCUUCUUCCAAAUAACCCAAAUACAAGCCACUCAAAUCACCGGAAGCAAAUUCUAACUUCUUUUUUAAACAAAAUAGAAUCUAAAACAAACGGGACUAAAAAUGUUUUGAAAUUACAAUGUUAAAUUAAUUACGUAAGGUUUGAGGGAGGAUUAGUCUAUGCAGUUGCGCGCAGAGAUAUUCGAUUUAUGCAGAAAAAUAAAAUAAAAGUGUAUUGAAUAUUUUUUUAAAUUGAAAAGAAUUUCUUUUUUAUAAGAAAAUAACUAUUAAAAUCCACAUUUGUAUUUGUCGCCGACAACACCAACAAAAAAGGAAGGGAGCGGAGAUAUUUUAAAUCUACAUAUGUGUCAAUUUUGUGUCUCAAAAUUGUGUUUGAAUAACAUACUUCUUUUAUUUCUUUUUUUUGUAUGCUUAACAAAUGCUUCGGGGCACUGUUUAGCAUCACCCUUUCUUUUUUACCCUCUAAAAUAUUGAACCAAACACACAAAAUUUAAAAUAUUACCUCUGAUUCCCUCCGAAACCCCCGAACCAAGCAUACCCUAAAGUUGUACAUAUAACUAAUCAUUUUCACCGACCGAGCUGCUUUCCACUUUUCGCCGGAAUCUGCCAUGGCAACCAUUUUUCGCUGCCGGUGAUAGACCAGCCACCAUACCUGAUGACGGUAAAAUCCAUACUACUUUAAAAUUUUAAUUAAAAGGAACCAUUUCACGAAGCAUCAAUGCAAGCUAGUGGACUUCAAUUUAAACAAAGGUCCAAAUUCAAGUCAGGGAGUAUUAGGACACUCUUUGGUGAUUC